UACAGAGGGUGCGAGCGUUAUUCGGAAUUACUGGGCGUAAAGCGCGCGUAGGCGGCUUUGCAAGUCGGGCGUGAAAUCCCCAGGCUUAACCUGGGAACUGCACUCGAGACUGCAUUGCUAGAGUAUGGGAGAGGGAAGUGGAAUUUCCGGUGUAGCGGUGAAAUGCGUAGAUAUCGGAAGGAACAUCAGUGGCGAAAGCGACUUCCUGGACCAAUACUGACGCUCAUGUGCGAAAGCGUGGGGAGCAAACAGG
rnacentral:rRNA from 1 species